CCUACGGGCGGCAGCAGUGAGGAAUAUUGGUCAAUGGCCGUGAGUCUGAACCAGCCAAGUCGCGUGAAGGAAGAAGGACCUAUGGUUUGUAAACUUCUUUUAUAGGGGAGUAAAUGUCUCCACGUGUGGCUCUUUGCGUGUACCCUAUGAAUAAGCAUCGGCUAACUCCGUGCCCGCAGCCGCGGUAAUACGGAGGAUGCGAGCGUUAUCCGGAUUUAUUGGGUUUAAAGGGGGCGUAGGGUGGUUUUUAAGUCAGCGGUGAAAGUUUGUGGCUCAACCAUAACAGUGCCGUUGAAACUGGAAGACUUGAGUGUGUUUGAGGUAGGCGGAAUGCGUGGUGUAGCGGUGAAAUGCAUAGAUAUCACGCAGAACUCCGAUUGCGAAGGCAGCUUACUAAGCCAUAACUGACACUGAAGCACGAAAGCGUGGGGAUCAAACAGGAUUAGAUACCCGAGUAGUC
rnacentral:rRNA from 1 species